GGGGUUAUGGCUCAGUGGUAGAGCACUUGCUUAGCAUGCGUGAGGCCCUGGGUUCGAUCCUCAGCACCA
rnacentral:tRNA from 1 species